CCUACGGGGGGCAGCAGUGGGGAAUAUUGGACAAUGGGGGGAACCCUGAUCCAGCGACGCCGCGUGAGUGAAGAAGUAUUUCGGUAUGUAAAGCUCUAUCAGCAGGGAAGAAAAUGACGGUACCUGACUAAGAAGCCCCGGCUAACUACGUGCCAGCAGCCGCGGUAAUACGUAGGGGGCAAGCGUUAUCCGGAUUUACUGGGUGUAAAGGGAGCGUAGACGGGGCAGCAAGUCUGAGGUGAAAGGUCGGGGCCCAACCCCGGGACUGCAUUGGAAACUGUUAGGCUGGAGUACAGGAGAGGUGGGUGGAAGUGCAGGGGGAGCGGUGAAAUGCGGAGAGAGUGGGAGGAAUACCGGGGGCGAAGGCGGCUGAGUGGACAAAGACUGACGCUCAGGUGCGAAAGCGUGGGGAGCAAACAGGAUUAGAUACCUUUGUAGUC
rnacentral:rRNA from 1 species